AUGUCGCCGGCCUUCCUCCUCUUCCCCCUCUCCUUCUUCCUCCUCUUCCCCCUCUUCUCCUUUAUCCUCUUCCCCUUCUCUUCUUCUCCUUCUUCCUCUUCCCCUUCUUCUCCUUCCUCCUCUUCCCCUUCUUCUCCUUCAUCCUCUUCCCCCUCUUCUCCUUUAUCCUCUUCCCCUUCUCUUCUUCUCCUUCUUCCUCUUCCCCUUCUUCCUCUUCCCCCUUCAUCCUCUUCUUCUCCUUCAUCCUCUUCCCCUUCUCCUCCUUCCUCCUUCCUCUUCCCCCUCUUCUCCUUUAUCCUCUUCCCCUUCUCUUCUUCUCCUUCUUCCUCUUCCCUUCUCCUUCUCCUUCCUCCUCUUCCCCUUCUCCUCCUUCAUACUCUUUCCUCUCUUCUCCUUUAUCUUCUUCCCCUUCUCUUCUUCUCCUUCUUCCUCUUCCCCUUCUCCUUCUUCCUCUUCCCCUUCUUCCUCUUCUUCUCCUUCAUCCUCUUCCCCUUCUCUUCCUUCCUCCUCUUCCCUCUCUUCUUACUCCUCUUCCCCUUCUUCUCCUUCAUCCUCUUCCCCUUCUCUUCCUUCCUCCUCUUCCCUCUCUUCUCCUUACUCCUCUUCCCUCUCUCCUCCUUCCUCCUCUUCCUCCUCUUCCCCUUCUUCUCCUUCGUCGUCUUCUUCUUCUUCUUCUUCUUCCUCUCCCCCUUCUUCCCCUUCUUCUCCUUCCUCCUCUUCUCCUUCUCCUUCUCCCUCUUCCCCUUCUUCUCCCUCUCCCUCUUCCCCUUCUUCUCCUUCUUCUCCUUCUUCUCCUUCUUUUUCUUCUUCUUCUUCUUUCUUCUUCUUCUUCUUCUUCCUCUUCCCCUUCUUCUCCCCUUUCCUCCUCUUUUCCUUCUUCCCCUUCUUCUCCUUGUUCCUCUUCCCCUUCUUCCUCUUCUCCUUCUCCUCCUUCCUCCUCCUCUCCUUCUCUUCCUCUUCUUCCUCCUCCUCCUUCGCAAAUUCCAAACCUUGCUUCCCAACUACCUGUAG
rnacentral:lncRNA from 1 species